CCGGCGCGACGGUGAGUAACGCGUAUGCAACUACUAUCAGGAGGGGAUAACCCGGCGAAAGUCGGACUAAUACCGCAUGAAGCAGGGGCCCCGCAUGGGGAUAUUUGCUAAAGAUUCAUCGCUGAUAGAUAGGCAUGCGUUCCAUUAGGCAGUUGGCGGGGUAACGGCCCACCAAACCGACGAUGGAUAGGGGUUCUGAGAGGAAGGUCCCCCACAUUGGUACUGAGACACGGACCAA
rnacentral:rRNA from 1 species